GGCUUCAUAGCUCAGUGGCAGAGCAUUUGCACCAGAAUCGCAAAAUGGGUUCGUAUCCCAUUGAAGCCG